UAAAGUGGCGAACGGCUGAGUAACACGUGGGCAACCUGCCCUUUGCACUGGGAUAGCCUCGGGAAACCGAGGUUAAUACCGGAUACUCCAUAUUUGUCGCAUGGCGAAUAUGGGGAAAGCUCCGGCGGCAAAGGAUGGGCCCGCGGCCUGUUAGCUAGUUGGUGGGGUAGUGGCCUACCAAGGCAAUGAUGGGUAGCCGGGUUGAGAGACCGACCGGCCAGAUUGGGACUGAGACACGGCCCAGACUCCUACGGGAGGCAGCAGGC
rnacentral:rRNA from 1 species